ACGCUGGCGGCAGGCCUAACACAUGCAAGUCGAGCGGAAACGAGUUGUCUGAACCUUCGGGGAACGAUAAUGGCGUCGAGCGGCGGACGGGUGAGUAAUGCCUAGGAAAUUGCCCUGAUGUGGGGGAUAACCAUUGGAAACGAUGGCUAAUACCGCAUGAUACCUACGGGUCAAAGAGGGGGACCUUCGGGCCUCUCGCGUCAGGAUAUGCCUAGGUGGG
rnacentral:rRNA from 1 species